rnacentral:rRNA from 1 species
AGAUUAAGCCAUGCAUGUCUAAGUAUAAGCAAUUAUACCGCGAAACUGCGAAUGGCUCAUUAAAUCAGUUAUCGUUUAUUUGAUAGUACCUUACUACUUGGAUAACCGUGGUAAUUCUAGAGCUAAUACAUGCUAAAAAUCCCGACUCACGGAGGGAUGUAUUUAUUAGAUUAAAAACCAAUGCCCUUCGGGGCUCCUUGGUGAUUCAUAAUAACUUCUCGAAUCGCAUGGCCUUGCGCCGGGCGAUGGUUCAUUCAAAUUUCUGCCCUAUCAACUUUCGAUGGCAGGGUCUUGGCCUGCCAUGGUUACAACGGGUAACGGAGGGUUAGGGCUCGACCCCGGAGAAGGAGCCUGAGAAACGGCUACUACAUCCAAGGAAGGCAGCAGGCGCGCAAAUUACCCAAUCCCGAUUCGGGGAGGUAGUGACAAUAAAUACUGAUACAGGGCUCUUUCGGGUCUUGUAAUUGGAAUGAGUACAAUUUAAAUCCCUUAACGAGGAACAAUUGGAGGGCAAGUCUGGUGCCAGCAGCCGCGGUAAUUCCAGCUCCAAUAGCGUAUAUUAAAGUUGUUGCAGUUAAAAAGCUCGUAGUUGAACCUUGGGCCUGGCUGGCCGGUCCGCCUCACCGCGUGCACUGGUUCGGCCGGGCCUUUCCCUCUGGGGAUCCCCAUGCCCUUCAUUGGGUGUGGUGGGGAACCAGGACUUUUACUGUGAAAAAAUUAGAGUGUUCAAAGCAGGCCUAUGCUCGAAUACAUUAGCAUGGAAUAAUAAAAUAGGACGUGCGGUUCUAUUUUGUUGGUUUCUAGGACCGCCGUAAUGAUUAAUAGGGACAGUCGGGGGCAUCAGUAUUCAAUUGUCAGAGGUGAAAUUCUUGGAUUUAUUGAAGACUAACUACUGCGAAAGCAUUUGCCAAGGAUGUUUUCAUUAAUCAGGAACGAAAGUUAGGGGAUCGAAGACGAUCAGAUACCGUCGUAGUCUUAACCAUAAACUAUGCCGACUAGGGAUCGGACGAUGUUAUUUUUUGACUCGUUCGGCACCUUACGAGAAAUCAAAGUCUU